rnacentral:rRNA from 1 species
AUUGAACGCUGGCGGCAUGCUUUACACAUGCAAGUCGAACGGCAGCGCGGGCUUCGGCCUGGCGGCGAGUGGCGAACGGGUGAGUAAUGCAUCGGAACGUGCCCAGUAGUGGGGGAUAGCCCGGCGAAAGCCGGAUUAAUACCGCAUACGACCUGAGGGUGAAAGCGGGGGACCGAAAGGCCUCGCGCUAUUGGAGCGGCCGAUGUCGGAUUAGCUAGUUGGUGGGGUAAAGGCUUACCAAGGCGACGAUCCGUAGCUGGUCUGAGAGGACGACCAGCCACACUGGGACUGAGACACGGCCCAGACUCCUACGGGAGGCAGCAGUGGGGAAUUUUGGACAAUGGUGGCAACCCUGAUCCAGCCAUGCCGCGUGCGUGAAGAAGAACUUCGGGUUGUAAACAGCUAUUGUUAGGGAAGAAAUCCUCUGGGCUAAGACCCCGGGGGGAUGACGGUACCGAAAGAAUAAGCACCGGCUAACUACGUG